UACGUAGGCGGUUUAUUAAGUCAGAUGUGAAAGCCCCGGGCUUAACCUGGGAACUGCAUUUGAUACUGGUAAACUAGAGUAUGGUAGAGGGGGGUAGAAUUCCUAGUGCAGCGGUGAAAUGCGUAGAUAUUAGGAGGAAUACCAGUGGCGAAGGCGGCCCCCUGGACCAAUACUGACGCUGAGGUACGAAAGCGUGGGUAGCGAACA
rnacentral:rRNA from 1 species